UACGGAGGAUCCAAGCGUUAUCCGGAUUUAUUGGGUUUAAAGGGUGCGUAGGCGGCUUAUUAAGUCAGGGGUGAAAGACGGUGGCUCAACCAUCGCAGUGCCUUUGAUACUGAUAAGCUUGAAUGAACCUGAGGUAGGCGGAAUGUGACAAGUAGCGGUGAAAUGCAUAGAUAUGUCACAGAACACCAAUUGCGAAGGCAGCUUACUAAAGUUUAAUUGACGCUGAGGCACGAAAGCGUGGGGAUCAAACAGG
rnacentral:rRNA from 1 species